rnacentral:tRNA from 12 species
GGGCCGGUAGCUCAGCCUGGAAGAGCGCUCGGCUUGCACCCGAGAGGUCCCGGGUUCAAAUCCCGGCCGGUCCACCA